rnacentral:rRNA from 1 species
AUGGCCUUGGAUUGUUUCUUUGCCGUGUGGUUUGUUGUAGGAAAUGUGUGGAUAUUCGGUGGGCGUUCUUCGGCUGUUGAUGCUCCAAACUUGUACAUGUUAUGCAUCGUGUUCCUCACCUUCAGCUGUAUUGGGUAUGCCAUGCCUUUCAUCCUCUGCGCAAUGAUAUGCUGUUGUCUCCCCUGCAUUAUAUCCGUCAUGGGCUUCAGAGAAGACACAAACAAUACAAGAGGGGCCACUUCGGAAUCCAUCAAUACUUUGCCAACUUAUAAAUUCAAAACCAAGAAACGCCGCCAUGGUUCAGAUAACGACGCCGAAGGCCAAGAGGGAGGUAUAGUGGCUGCAGGGACUGACAAGGAGCGAUCGCUUUCUGCUGAAGAUGCUGUUUGCUGCAUCUGCCUUGCAAGUAUGCACACAACGAAGAGCUUCGUGAACUUCCCUGCACACACUGCUUCCACAAGGAAUGCGUUGACAAAUGGCUAA